GGCGUACCGCCUUGCGCUGCCUCUCCCCGGAUGGAGCUGUUCGGGGACGGUCGCGGUGGUAGGCUGGAGGAGGCGAUGCACGCGAGCGCACGGGCGCAGGCAGCGGCGCGCCGCCACAUCUCCGCGCCGAUGGGGCUCGGGAUCUCCGUUAACGGCGCCUCCUCCGCCUCGUCCUCCCCUGCCUCUGCACCCGACGAGGACGGCCCAACCUCGGAUCCAACCGCCGGGGUGAGCUCCAGGCUGAGCACGAGGUCGACGAUGGUGGUCGACGUUCCUUACAGAUAGAUGCAGGACAUGAGUACAUGACCCCAAAACCAUGCUGAUUAAUUGUGAGAACUUGGUGCUCCAUCAUCUCCUCCCUGGAGAUACACGUCCCGAGAUUUUUGUUUGGUCAACAAUGCAGAUGCAAAAGGAGCGGUACAAGUUUGGGAUUAAAUGCAUUGUUUACUAAAAUGAAAGCUUUAUGAUUUUGCAAUCUGCUUUGCUAAAAUGUAAAGGUUCGUUUGUUAAUUUGUUAAACCUUUUGAGCCUUUGAUUUUAGCCUGUAGCUCCUGGUGAAGGAAGAAAUAAAUGAUGGUAAGAACCACCAGGCCAGAACAUGUGUCAAAUUACGAGUAGUUUCUUUUUUCAAAGAAAAUAGGAGUAGUGCGGUUUGGCUCUCCAUAACUUGUUAUGUUACAGUUUGGAAGAACCAAAGUAAAAAAUAUUGUGCGAUUAGGUAUGUAGCAUCAUUGUGUUUGGCAUUGGAAUUGGAGAAGAGAUGCUUUUAUAUAAUAUAUAAUUUGGUCCAGCCCUAUUCUUUUCCGCUGUAGCGCCCUUGAUAGAGAAGCAGUAGUACGUGUUCUGGUUCCCUAUAGAGAUCUCCCUUUUCUUGUACACAAUGCAAUUAGGCUGACUGAGUUUCUAUCACAUUGUUUGUUUGCCAUGAAAAUAAAUUAUUUUCCGGCAAUCUCUAUGCAUUUUGUCCAUGCAGAUACAAUUUAUUGGGGUUACAUUAUGUGGAUACAUGAAUUCUAGCAUACAUGGAGUCAUAAGUUGUGCAAUAUUUUUGUCUUAUUCAUGUGUAAUAGUUUUUAACUUCACUUGUAUAAGUAUGGGAAAGACAAAUAAGGUAUUUGCCAUGUACUUGUUUAGCCUAGAAGCAUGCCGAUAUCUAAUGAAUCAAGGGGAGUUAGUUUAACACUUUACUCAGAAGAUAUUACAGUUAAUUAUCUUUAUAUUAUACUUCAGCUCCCAAGUCCUAAUUAUUCCUUCUCUAGGAAUAUUAGAAGGCUGCUGCAGAUCGGUACUGAAAUCCAGGCUGCCCGGUUUUCUUCUUGGACUUGCACAAGCUCCCUCUGGUUUCUGAAGUUCAAGGGGAUGACAUGGUUGCUGCAGUUCGGCACUGAAAUCCAGACAACAAAACAAGGUGC